rnacentral:rRNA from 1 species
UACAGAGGUCUCAAGCGUUGUUCGGAUUCAUUGGGCGUAAAGUGUGCGCAGGCGGCAGAGCAAGUCGAGUGUGAAAGCCCCGGGCUUAACUUGGGAAUUGCGCUCGAAACUACUUUGCUGGAGUGUGGCAGAGGAAAGUGGAAUUCCUGGUGUAGCGGUGAAAUGACGCAGAUAUCAGGAAGAACACCCGUGGCGAAGGCGGCUUUCUGGGGACGGUACUGACGCUGAGACGCGAAAGCGUGGGGAGCGAACAGG